rnacentral:rRNA from 1 species
CCCGUGAGAAUCUGGCUAUCUAAGGACGGGGACAACCACUGGAAACGGUGGCUAAGACCCGAUAUGCCGAGAGGUGAAAGUAUUUUUAGCCUUGAGGGGAGCUCGCGUCUGAUUAGCUAGUUGCGUGGGGUAAGGGCCUACCAAGGCGACGAUCAGUAGCUGGUCUGAGAGGAUGAUCAGCCACACUGGGACUGAGACACGGCCCAGACUCCUACGGGAGGCAGCAGUGGGGAAUUUUCCGCAAUGGGCGAAAGCCUGACGGAGCAAUACCGCGUGGGGGAGGAAGGCUCUUGGGUUGUAAACUCCUUUUCUCAGGGAAGAAAAAAAUGACGGUACCUGAGGAAUCAGCGAUCGGCUAACUCCGUGCCAGCAGCCGCGGUAAUACGGAGGAUGCAAGCGUUAUCCGGACUAUCAUUGGGCGUAAAGCGUCCGCAGGUGGCACUUCAAGUCUGCUGUCAAAGGUCGGGGCUUAACUCCGAACAGGCAGUGGAAACUGAAGCGCUCGAGUGCGGUAGGGGCAGAGGGAAUUCCUGGUGUAGCGGUGAAAUGCGUAGAGAUCAGGAAGAACACCGGUGGCGAAAGCGCGUCUGCUAGGCCGCAUACUGACUCUUAGGCACGCGUAUGAGUGCUACCAACU